rnacentral:rRNA from 1 species
CCUACGGGAGGCAGCAGUGAGGAAUAUUGGUCAAUGGGCGCGAGCCUGAACCAGCCAAGUCGCGUGAGGGAUGACGGCCCUACGGGUUGUAAACCUCUUUUGCCGGGGAGCAACGGGCGCCACGUGUGGCGCCACUGAGAGUACCCGGAGAAAAAGCAUCGGCUAACUCCGUGCCAGCAGCCGCGGUAAUACGGAGGAUGCGAGCGUUAUCCGGAUUUAUUGGGUUUAAAGGGUGCGUAGGCGGAUCGUUAAGUCAGUGGUCAAAUUGAGGGGCUCAACCCCUUCCCGCCUUUGAAACUGGCGAUCUUGAGUGGAAGAGAAGUAGGCGGAAUGCGUGGUGUAGCGGUGAAAUGCGUAGAUAUCACGCAGAACCCCGAUUGCGAAGGCAGCAUGCCGGCUUCCGACUGACGCUGAAGCACGAAAGCGUGGGGAUCGAACAGGAUUAGAUACCCGGGUAGUC